rnacentral:rRNA from 1 species
UCCACGCCGUAAACGAUGGAUACUAGCUGUCCGAGGCCUUGAGUCUUGGGCGGCCAAGCGAAAGUGAUAAGUAUCCCACCUGGGGAGUACGUUCGCAAGAAUGAAACUCAAAGGAAUUGACGGGGGCCCGCACAAGCGGUGGAGCAUGUGGUUUAAUUCGAUGAUACGCGAGGAACCUUACCAGGGCUUAAAUGUGGUCUGACAGCUUUAGAGAUAGAGUUUCCUUCGGGCAGAUCACAGGGUGCUGCAUGGUUGUCGUCAGCUCGUGCCGUGAGGUGUCAGGUUAAGUCCUAUAACGAGCGCAACCCCUGCCGUUAGUUGCCAGCAUGUUAUGAUGGGGACUCUAACGGG